rnacentral:rRNA from 1 species
UUUCGAAUUUUUCGCAAUGGGCGAAAGCCUGACGGAGCGACGCCGCGUGGGGGAUGAAGGUCUUCGGAUUGUAAACCCCUGUCAGCUGGGAACAAGGUCUCGUGGUGAAUAGCCAUGAGAUUUGAUAGUACCGGCAGAGGAAGCCGUGGCUAACUCUGUGCCAGCAGCCGCGGUAAUUCAGAGACGGCAAGCGUUGUUCGGAUUCACUGGGCGUAAAGGGUCCGCAGGUGGCAAAGCAAGUCUGGCGUGAAAUCUCCACCACUUAACGGGGAGAGGUCGCUGGAAACUGCCGAUCUGGAGUUCGGUAGAGGAUCAUGGAAUUCCAGGUGUAGCGGUGGAAUGCGUAGAUAUCUGGAAGAACACCGGUGGCGAAGGCGGUGAUCUGGGCCGAAACUGACGCUGAGGCGCGAAAGCUAGGGGAGCAAACA